AACGAACGCUGGCGGCAUGCCUAACACAUGCAAGUCGAACGAGACCUUCGGGUCUAGUGGCGCACGGGUGCGUAACGCGUGGGAAUCUGCCCUUCGGUUGGGAAUAACUGAGAGAAAUUUCAGCUAAUACCUUAUAAUGUCUUCGGACCAAAGAUUUAUCGCCGAGGGAUGAGCCCGCGUAGGAUUAGGUAGUUGGUGGGGUAAUGGCCUACCAAGCCGACGAUCCUUAGCUGGUCUGAGAGGAUGAUCAGCCACACUGGGACUGAGGCACGGCCCAGACGCCUACGGGAGGCAGCAGUGGGGAAUAAUGGACAAGGGGCGAAAGCCUGAUCCAGCAAGGCCGCGUGAGUGAUGAAGGCCUUAGGGUUGUAAAGCUCUUUUACCCGAGAUGAUAAUGACAGAACCGGGAGAAUAAGCUCCGGCUAACUCCGU
rnacentral:rRNA from 1 species